GACGAACGCUGUUGGCGUGCCUAACACAUGCAAGUCGAGCGAAGUGAGUACUACGGUACGAACUUAGCGGCGGACGGGUGAGUAACGCGUGGACAAUCUACCCUGUAGACUGGGAUAACACCUCGAAAGGGGUGCUAAUACCGGAUAAUGUCGAGAAGCGGCAUCGCUUUUCGAAGAAAGGAGAGAAUCCGCUAUAGGAGGAGUCCGCGUCCCAUUAGCUAGUUGGCGAGGGUAACGGCCCACCAAGGCGACGGUGGGUAGCCGGCCUGAGAGGGUGAACGGCCACACUGGAACUGAGACACGGUCCAGACUCCUACGGGAGGCAGCAGUGGGGAAUAUUGUACAAUGGGGGAAACCCUGACACAGCAACGCCGCGUGAGCGAAGAAGGCCUUCGGGUUGUAAAGCUCAAUAGUAUGGGAAGAUAAUGACGGUACCAUACGAAAGCCCCGGCUAACUACGUGCCAGCCGCCGCCGUAACAC
rnacentral:rRNA from 1 species